AAGGUGGUUUUAUUAAGAAUGUCAAUAUCAAUCGGUAAGCGUUUGGUUCCUAGUUUAAAGUAGAAGAGACAAUAAAAUAAUGUUGUCUGGCGUCCCUUCUUGGCCUCUGAAAGAAGCAAGCAGAAAAAGAAAAAAAAGAGCAUAAUAUUCAUAUACAUAAAUUUACUCUGUCAACUAAAACUAAAAGUUCAGCAAUUGUACUUUAAAAAACUAAAGAAAAAAAUUACUAACUUUGUUUCAACUCCUCUACACAGCAUUUGCCUGCAUAAUUCACAAGAUAAAUAUGCUACGCUUUUAAACCAACAAUCACCCAUUAAAAUUAUAAAUUUUUCAAUUUUAUUUCCAAAUGUUUUCGAGCAAUGGGGUAUCCAUUAAGUCAGAAUCGUAAUCAUAUAU
rnacentral:misc_RNA from 1 species